rnacentral:lncRNA from 1 species
AAAUAUAGGGAGUUCACUACUCACACGAACAGAGUCUCCCUGUAUUUGCACGGCGUCGCAUAAGUACAAUAUUCACAAAACAGAAUACAACCACCACAUAUGAACAUACACAUAUUCAUACACCAUUCAUAUUCACAUAUAUAUUCAGAAUUUAUCCAUAAAUCUACAACUAUUAGUUUAAAAUAUUUCCUACCCAGAAACUCGUUUUAAAAUGCUAAGUCAUGAAAAUCAAGAAAACCUUUUAAAAAUCGUUUUCCACACGGAAACCUUUUCCUUUUAAAACUCACUACCAUGAGGGGUAGAAAACUAUUUUCAUUUACAAGAAUUCCAAAUCCUUUAUUACAUUCACGAAAACCCAAAUAUUCAAUUCACAUAAAAUACUGAACCAUAAUGUUGUCUGA